UUGCCAGCCCGCUCAGAAACUCAAAUGAAUUGACGGGGGCCCGCACAAGCGGUGGAGUAUGUGGUUUAAUUCGAUGCAACGCGAAGAACCUUACCUGGUCUUGACAUCCCGGAGACCCUUAGGAAACUAGGGGGUGCUUCCAUCUGGAAGAAUCUGGAGACAGGUGCUGCAUGGCUGUCGUCAGCUCGUGCGUGAGAUGUUGGGUUAAGUCCCGCAACGAGCGCAACCCUUGCCUUUAGUUGCCAGCAGUUCGGCUGGGCACUCUAAAGGGACUGCCGGUGACAAACCGGAGGAAGGUGGGGAUGACGUCAAGUCAUCAUGGCCCUUACGGCCUGGGCUACACACGUGCUACAAUGGUCGGUACAAAGGGUUGCCAAGCCGCGAGGUGGAGCUAAUCCCAUAAAACCGAUCGUAGUCCGGAUCGCAGUCUGCAACUCGACUGCGUGAAGUCGGAAUCGCUAGUAAUCGUGAAUCAGAAUGUCACGGUGAAUACGUUCCCGGGCCUU
rnacentral:rRNA from 1 species